rnacentral:rRNA from 1 species
UACGUGGGGUGCGAGCGUUAAUCGGAAUUACUGGGCGUAAAGCGCGCGUAGGCGGCUAAUUAAGUCAAAUGUGAAAUCCCCGAGCUUAACUUGGGAAUUGCAUUCGAUACUGGUUAGCUAGAGUGUGGGAGAGGAUGGUAGAAUUCCAGGUGUAGCGGUGAAAUGCGUAGAGAUCUGGAGGAAUACCGAUGGCGAAGGCAGCCAUCUGGCCUAACACUGACGCUGAGGUGCGAAAGCAUGGGGAGCAAACAGGG